CACCUGACUCCACUAGCACAGUCUGCCCCUUCAAAACAAAAUCUGCCGAAACUGCUCAUCACACAAGGACAAGAAAUUUCCCGGCAACCUGUGAUUGCUAAUUUACCGAGGAUGGGCAGCAGGCUGUUGAGAGGAACGCCAAUUUUCCCGGGAUUCUCUUCCCGAACACAAAUCCAAGUGUUUAAUGCAAGAUUCACACUUCACUCAGGUUUGUGUUUGGGUUUGGUUUGUUUCCUGGAGAUUGGCUGAGUUUCCCUGGUUUUGUAGAGCGAGGAAGAGCCAGUCGCUUCCUAGCUACCUUUUACUAAGGCCAAAUCGGACAAAUACAAGUAAACACGUCUUUCAAGUAUACCUCUGUCACUCCGGGCGCCGCCUUUGCGUAAGAUGCAAGGAACGAAGGGAAACUGCCGAGUCACCCGCAGAUCACACCCAGGGCGCCCCAGGGGUGGCGGGAUGACCAGGCUGCAAAGGACCGCGGAGCGCCCCAGCCAAGCUCUCUGCUUUAUCUGCUAUUCGCACAGCGCCACCGCACUCACCAGUUCCUAGAGAAGGGAUUCUGAGAAAAAAGAAAGAGCCUGGUUCCCUAGAAACAUUAAAUUAACACAAGGGAUCUGGAAACGAAACAGCAGAUGCCUGAAAGCCUUCCCCUUGACUGUUUCCUGCCUUCUUGGAAAAUCUUUGCGUUAAAAUAGAUUGGAUUACUCUGCACAGCCAGAUGCUGCUCGAGAACUUCGUUUGGGGUGAACAUGAAACAUUAAGAACACAAGAAGGCAGCUUCAAAGGCUCUGUAUGGAGUUUUGUUUCUCCCCUUUGUCACUUUUUGCUGCCACUUUACUAACUUUCCAAAUCUUAGUAGUUGCUUUCCCAUUUCUUAUUUAAACAUUAAUGAAACAUGAGUAACCUACACCAUUUCAUAAACCGCCUUCAUUGUUAGAAUCAGAUUCCAGAGGGAAGUGAAAUUGAACAAACCAUAAAUUUGCUCCAGCCACUCUCCAUUCCAUAUUUUUGGAGCAUCUAAUAUAAGGCCCAGUGCUAGCUGAGGAAACAGCAGGGGAAACAAGAUAACCAGAGUUCCUGCCCUCAUAGAGCUUAUCUUCUAACCAUUCCAAGACGGGAGGAAGGCAGCAAACAAAUCCAUGGAUUGUGAUAGGCUUGUUACGAAGAAAAACCACAGGAUGCUGUGAGAAAGUAUGUAUGGCACAGAGACCUGACCUUUGGCUGGGGGAUGAGGAAGGCCUCUCCGCAGAAGUGGCAUUAAAGCUGAGAUAUAUGAGUUGAGUGAAACUCGAUGAAGGUGGGUAUGGAGGGACAGGAGGAGGAACAGAGAGAAGCAUUCCAAGCAAAGGGAACAAAAUAUGCAAAGGCCUGAAGCUGGAGAGAACACAAUGCUUCUGAGGUGAGGAAAGAAGGCAGGUUAUAAGAGGGAAAGUGUCCCAAGACAAGCUGGGAAGGUGGCAUAGCCAGAUGCUUCAGGACAUUGUAGAUGACAGUUUGGAUUCAAAUCUCACCCUAAGAGCAAUAGGAACACACUGAAAGGUUAAAGCUUGUCCACUGAACUCAAAUUCCCUUGGCUACCUGUGAUUGAUAUAUCAAGAAGAAAACAGUAUGAAAAAGUGCUCUGAUAAAGGAAAACAUAUUUAGAAUAGAAAGCAUAGUGUCAUAGAAGAAAGGGUGUUAAACCAUGAAUGAAAACUAAGGGGUUCUACUCAUAGUACUAUUAUCCUGGGUAGGCCAUUUAAUCUCAAAAUAUCUCCACUUCCUCAUCUACCAAAUAAAAGUACUAAAAAAUUCAAAACUCACAUAUUCAUUGUAAAAAGCAAAUGAGAUACUACAUUUGAUAUUUCAAAAUGCUUUGAGGGGCUUUGAGGGGCUUCCCUGGUGGCUCAGUGGUUAAGAAUCCACCUGCCAAUGCAGGGAACACGAGUUCAAGCCCUGGUCCAGGAAUAUCCCACAUGCCGCAGAGCAACUAAGCCCGUGCGCCACAACUACUGAGCCUGCGCUCUGGAGCCUGCGAGCCACAACUACUGAAGCCUGCGCACCUAGAGCCCAUGCUGUGCAACGAGGAGCCUCCGUAAUGAGAAGCCCCCACAAUGAGAAGCCCACACACCACAACAAAGAGUAGCCCCCGUUCCUUCUCGCCGCAACUAGAGAAAGCCCGCGCACAGCAACGAAGACCCAACGCAGCCUAAAAUAAAUAAACAAACAAGUAAAUAAGUAAAUAAAUAUGCUUUGAAUCUCUAAAAUGUAAGAUCCUUGAGGCAAGGAUUUUAUCUGUUUUUCACUGCUAUACCUAGCACUUAGAGGAUGGAUGGAUGGAUGGAUGGAUGGAAGGAAGGAUGGAAGGGAGGGAGGGCAGGAGGACAGGCAGACAAAUGGAUACAUCAAGCACCAUACCAGGCAAAUAUGAAGCAAGAUGGACUGUGUGUGGACAAAGCCCACCUGGGAGGGCAGCCUCCACAGAAGGACUCAUUAGCGUAACAUCACAAGUGCUUGCCAGCCAGCCGGGCCUGCCCUCAGUGCCAGUGCACCAGGCACCUCCAGCAGCUGCUCUAGAGGACUGGCCAGUUGGUCAGCCAGCACAGGAUCAAAAGCCCAUGACAUACACUUCCUCAGUGUAGUAAGUGACAGGGGGCGACUAGGAGAAAUGAAACCACUGCCCUUCAUGCUGCUUCUUCCUGAGAGACCAGUCCCCGUCAAGGGCCCCAAGGCCAGGCCCUAUGUACACAUCCUUCUCUAUUAAUACAGUCCAUCACU